rnacentral:rRNA from 1 species
GACGAACGCUGGCGGCGUGCUUAACACAUGCAAGUCGAACGGAAAGGCCCUGCUUUUGUGGGGUGCUCGAGUGGCGAACGGGUGAGUAACACGUGAGUAACCUGCCCUUGACUUUGGGAUAACUUCAGGAAACUGGGGCUAAUAUCGGAUAGGAGCUCCUGCUGCAUGGUGGGGGUUGGAAAGUUUCGGCGGUUGGGGCUGGACUCGCGGCUUAUCAGCUUGUUGGUGGGGUAGUGGCUUACCAAGGCUUUGACGGGUAGCCGGCCUGAGAGGGUGACCGGCCACAUUGGGACUGAGGUACGGCCCAGACACCUACGGGAGGGAGCAGUGGGGAAUAUUGCACAAUGGGCGGAAGCCUGAUGCAGCAACGCCGCGUGCGGGAUAACGGCCUUCGGGUUGUAAACCGCUUUCGCCUGUGACGAAGCGUGAGUGACGGUAAUGGGUAAAGAAGCACCGGCUAACUACGUG